rnacentral:lncRNA from 1 species
GUACCUAAUUCUUUAUAAAAGCAUGCCUGGUUGUGUUAUAAUCUAAACUUCAAGAAUAUGAAAAGCCCCCCUAUCUUGCAAAGGAUUUGAUAACACAUAGAUCCUUUUGAUUCUAAUUUUUACAUUAGCUGAUGGGUGAUAUCCACAUUCAAGAUGCUUAUCCAAUUUAAACUUUAUUUCAGAAACUUGGAACAACAGAAAAGGAUGGCUUGAAUUUUUAAAAUUAACUUAAUAUUAAUCAGGAAUCUGCCACAUGCAAAGCACCUGCAGAAGAAAUGCAAAAAGCCUGAAAUAUGACUGCUCCUACUCGAGUCGCCAAUAGUCUUAUGGAAGAGAUAACACCUGCAAAAUGGCCUGUUGUAUUAGCCUGCUCAGUUGCUGUAAUCUCUGUACCAUAGGACAGAGAUUUAUUGCCUCACAUUUCUGGAGACUGUAAAGAUCCAAGAUUGAGGUAUUGGAAAAUUCAGUUCCAGGGUGACACUUCUCAGGAAACCACCAAUGGAGAGUAAACCAUGGAUUUGGACUCAAAAUAACGUAGUACCAUCGGAGAGCGCCAACUCCAUCAACUGGAUGAAGGUUGGAGGCACUCCAGAUCUGCUUAGGUGGCAAGGCUGAGCCAGGCUCCAUGAGACUGGAAGGGCUAAUGGUCAUGAGGGCCUGCAGCAAUUCUAUGUAAAAAUAACAUCCAGCUCCCCAGACAUUUGGCAAGGCUCUGAUUGCCGUCCCUUGAGAGUCAGGAAGUCGUGAUUGUCAAAUCAGAGCUGAGCGUGGCUGUGGUGGGGGUGGAGGCCGAGGACUGGUAUUAGGACUGCCCUCCCCCUGGAGUGAGUCAGGUUCUGGGUCAGAGUCCACCUGUCCUCAGAAUCAGCCUGUCACACUUGACUCACUCCCUGAUGGUGAAAGCCACCCCCAGCCGCAACUUGAAAAUGUCCCAAAUGGUGGGUAAAGCAAACCUCCAAGCAUUUCAGAAUGGGCAAAGCUGGGAGUCCAGGCAGUAGAAAAAAAAAAAAAAAAAGACCUCCUUUUUUUUUUUUUUUUUUUUUUUUUUUUCUCGUUAGGGCCACACCUGCUGCAUAUGGAGGUUCCCAGGCUAGGGGGUCAAAUCUGAGGUACAGCUGCUGGCCUACACCACAGCCACAGCCAUAGCCACAACAACAGGAUCGGAGCCACGUCUGCAACCUACACCACAGUUCAUGGCAAUGCCAGAUCCUUAACCCACUGAGUGAAGCCAGGGAUCAAACCUGCAACCUCAUGGUUCCUAGUCAGAUUCAUUUCCACUGCACCAUCAUGAAAACUCCAAGACCUGCUUUUUUUUUUUGUUUGUUUGUUUUUGUUUUUGUUUUUGAGCCUCUUUUCUGGGUCUAGCAGAGUUCAAAAUUCCGCUUGAACUACCUGGUAACCAUUAUGCUAACUGGUUAACUUGAGGACUGUCUUGCCCAGCAGGGAAUGAGGGAAGAGCUAGAAAAAUAAGUCUACUUGGGGGGCUUAGAUAAGAAUUCAGAAACUGAGACCAAGGGAAAGGCCCAGCUGUGUGAACAGGUGCCCUCAAAAGAGGUUAACAGUUUUAAGAAUCACCUGGACUUAGGGGCCACUUUAAGAGAUUCAAGACAAAAGAGAGUGGAGAGAAGGGCAAAGAGGGGCUUGGGAAAUGACGGGGGGAGUAAGAGAUGGGUUUGAGUUUCAGCUUCCAGGUCUAUUUUGGAAAAAGAGAGUGUUGCUCUCCUCACCAGCUGCUGCACACCUGCCAGGCUGGAAAGAAGGCUCCGGUGGCUUCCAUGCUGCUUGAUCCAUGACUCCUAGGGUUAGCAACUGUGGUCAGCAAGAAAGCUGGAAGGAGAUGGGAUGGGCAGGCAGGUUGUAAAGGCAUCAUGGUCAAGGGCAGUUGUUUACUGGAAAGGAAACACUGAUUGCCAUGCAAGACAAGUAUUUCUGCAGAAAAAUUAGAAUGAUCUCAGGCUUUUGGAGAAAAAUGUACUUUCAUUUUCACCAAUGAACGUUCUCUCUCCCAAGCUCCAAACAAAUAUCGCUCCCUUUCCUGUCCAGGGACCAGCAACAGACAGCACAGCAAAUCUGCACUCUUUGUGGUUAGUGAGAAAGGAAGUGAAGGACUCUGGGGUCAUAUAUGAGGUGCAGCUAUAUUCAGAGAGCUAGCAGGGAUGCUCUGAGGUCCCUGUCUUCCUCCUCAUUGCCCAAGGAGUGCGGCAAGCAGCAGAGUGGGGGCUGGAGACAGUAGCCAAAACAUCAUAGGGUUUAAGUUCUAAUACCAGCUCUGCCAGCUGCUGAUUUAUGAGGUUUGGGGCAACACAUCUGCUCUCUCGCAGCCUCCUUGCCUGUAUCCCUAAAAUGAGGGGGUUGUUUUAUGAUGCUGAGGAAUGUUAGGAUCAGAUAAGAUGAUAAGAAAUCCCAUUCCUCCCCCAGAUUCCUGUACACCUCAGCCAGAAACCAGACAGUCACAGGAGACACCUUACUCCCUGGUUUCUCACCUCCUACUGUUUCUGCUCGCACCCCCCCCAUCUCUCUUGAAUUCAUCCCUUCCUGGAUCUCCCAAUUGCCCCUGCCUGAAGUUAGGCUCUAGUGCUCCCUCACCUGGAUGCCCCAAUUCUGGUGUCCACUUUUACCCUCCAUUGAUGCAUCGGCUCCAUCCACUCCCACCAACCAUUAAAUAGCUUCCAAAAAGGAAGCCGUCUGUCUUUUCUCUCUGCAGCAUCAGUGUCAAGCACAACAAUGUGGAAUAGGCUCCCCUCAGAAUGUUUGAUAAAGAGAUAACUAGGUAGAGGAAUAAAUCAUUGGACAUAGAUGCAAA